rnacentral:rRNA from 1 species
UACGGAGGGUGCAAGCGUUAUCCGGAUUCACUGGGCUUAAAGGGUGCGUAGGCGGUUUGGUAAGUCCGUGGUGAAAUCUCCAAGCUUAACUUGGAAACUGCCGUGGAUACUAUCAAUCUUGAAUAUCGUGGAGGUAAGCGGAAUAUGUCAUGUAGCGGUGAAAUGCUUAGAUAUGACAUAGAACACCAAUUGCGUAGGCAGCUUACUACACGAUCAUUGACGCUGAGGCACGAAAGCGUGGGGAGCAAACAGG